rnacentral:misc_RNA from 1 species
GUCAAAUUAACUUUAUAUCACAAACUUGAGAUAUUUUCACUUGGACAUCAAUAUUGGGCUUCUUGAUUUGUCCUACAUUUAUAUGCUUGCACAGGUCUACAUUUUGGAAGUUCAUCGUUAAGAGUUUGAUUUUAUGGUUUGUUCAUUAGCAAAAAUGAGCACUGAUUAUACCAGUUUGGCAGAAUCCAGGGAAGAUUUAAUUGGAUUUGAAGGCUCUUAAAGGAUGAAAAAGUUUCUAUAAUUUGAUUUUGCACAUCAAACAUAUGCUGCUAGGUAGAGUUAAGCAUUAAAGCCCCUCGUACGGAGUUCACAAUUAUGAGCAUAUCAAUUUACAAGCUUUAUGCCUAGUCACUCGGGAUGACACUGUUUUUUUUACCUUCUAGUACCAAUAGAUUAUUUUAGUCAAUGCAGUUGGAACCUUGUCUAUAUAUCCUCAAAACUCAAGUGGUUUCUGUUACUUUAACCUCAGUGAUCAAGUUUUAUUUGCUUUUAUGAUGUGUGGGAAAUUAUCUGAAGUCAUAUCUGUAGUUUCCCUCCAGGGAAUACGAGGGUCAUCUUUUUGGACCACCAAAUCAUUUAGUAUACCGAGUACCAGUUGGUUUCAGAUUUGCA